GCUGAAGCCAGUCGAAGAUACCAGCUGGCUGCAACUGUUUAUUAAAAACACAGCACUGUGCAAACACGAAAGUGGACGUAUACGGUGUGACGCCUGCCCGGUGCUGGAAGGUUAAUUGAUGGGGUCAGCCGUAAGGCGAAGCUCCUGAUCGAAGCCCCAGUAAACGGCGGCCGUAACUAUAACGGUCCUAAGGUAGCGAAAUUCCUUGUCGGGUAAGUUCCGACCUGCACGAAUGGCGUAAUGAUGGCCAGGCUGUCUCCACCCGAGACUCAGUGAAAUUGAACUCGCUGUGAAGAUGCAGUGUACCCGCGGCAAGACGGAAAGACCCCGUGAACCUUUACUAUAGCUUGACACUGAACAUUGAGCCUUGAUGUGUAGGAUAGGUGGGAGGCUUUGAAGUGUGGACGCCAGUCUGCAUGGAGCCAACCUUGAAAUACCACCCUUUAACGUUUGAUGUUCUAACCUAGGCCCAUAAACUGGGUCGGGGACCGUGUCUGGUGGGUAGUUUGACUGGGGCGGUCUCCUCCUAAAGAGUAACGGAGGAGCACGAAGGUUGGCUAAGCAUGGUCGGACAUCAUGCGGUUAGUGCAAAGGCAUAAGCCAGCUUGACUGCGAGAGUGACGGCUCGAGCAGGUACGAAAGUAGGUCUUAGUGAUCCGGUGGUUCUGAAUGGAAGGGCCAUCGCUCAACGGAUAAAAGGUACUCCGGGGAUAACAGGCUGAUACCGCCCAAGAGUUCAUAUCGACGGCGGUGUUUGGCACCUCGAUGUCGGCUCAUCACAUCCUGGGGCUGAAGUAGGUCCCAAGGGUAUGGCUGUUCGCCAUUUAAAGUGGUACGCGAGCUGGGUUUAGAACGUCGUGAGACAGUUCGGUCCCUAUCUGCCGUGGGCGUUGGAAGAUUGAGAGGGGUUGCUCCUAGUACGAGAGGACCGGAGUGAACGCACCACUGGUGUUCGGGUUGUCAUGCCAAUGGCAUUGCCCGGUAGCUAAGUGCGGAAGAGAUAACCGCUGAAAGCAUCUAAGCGGGAAACUUGCCUCGAGAUGAGUCUUCCCUGUCGCUUUAAGCGACCUAAAGGAACGUUUAAGACUAAGACGUUGAUAGGCUGGGUGUGUAAGCGUAGCGAUACGUUGAGCUAACCAGUACUAAUGAACCGUGAGGCUUAACCUGACAACACCGAA
rnacentral:rRNA from 1 species